UUACUAAUGCGCAUAACAAACCAAUGCUUAAGCCUCCGCCGAGAGUAGACAAGCCAGCGUUUAGCCUUUAGGAUGCGAUCUAAGCAGUUGUUCACUAAAGGACACCAACCAACUGUAGUUCUCCGAACUACGAAUGCUCUGACUUCCUUAUUAUACCAUAAGGAUACGUAGGCAGGAGAUUGAUGUAUCUUCGCGAGCACACUAAUAAAAAAACCUCCUCUUCUCCUUUCUGAGGUUCUCAUCCAUUUCUAUAUUUUAUAACCCAAAGAUAACAAAC
rnacentral:lncRNA from 1 species